CAAGUGUCACGGUAAACAGAAAUUAGUAUUCGCUGCAACCGGAACAGCUAUAUGGAAUUUUCGACGCUGGCAGUACAGGUGACCCGUACCCAAACAAAGGGAUUCGACAUCAACCUAUGCCACGGGGAAAACUGACUACGCGGGUUUAAUAAGAUUCGCCGGCCAGAAUCCGAGAUUCUUCCCAUUCGAAUCGACCAACUCAUAGGAAGAAACACCGCGCCGACGAAGAACUUUCGCGGAUCGUCGUCUGAAGCGCCUGAAGUUCGACUGAAGUCAUCUCCCGAAGCCAUUUCUUCACCAUGGACAGUAAAGAAAUGACCAAACUCCUUCGACACGAAGGUGGAAGCGUUGUCGCUCAGAAGAACUUCAGGACACCCGUGACGAUUAAACCACUGCUCCCGAAGAAUGGAACAAAGGGAGCUGCUUUGGAUUUUCCGGACAGGGGCCAACAUGACGUAUUUGCUAAACACGUCUAGCACAACA